UCACGAGAAUCCAUGAGGGGACAAUUUGCAAAAAUUGUUUAUGUUUUUUUUAACUGUCUUGACAGUGAAAUAAAUUGCUUUCUUUGUUGAAAACUAAUACGACUUGUCACAAUUCAAACUGUGGCAGUCAUUGAGCAAAAAGUUAACCAAUUUCAAAGAUUGUUCGCACUUUUUCAACAUUUCAGGCUGUGGCUACGUUCUUUAUUUCCUAAUAAUCAUAUUAUGCUGGAAAUUACAGGAUUACGGGUCAUAAGAGCUG
rnacentral:misc_RNA from 1 species